rnacentral:rRNA from 1 species
AUUGAACGCUGGCGGCAUGCCUUACACAUGCAAGUCGACAGAAAGACAGAACGAAAUCAUGGGGGCGAGUGGCGAACGGGUGAGUAAAGUAUCGGAACGUGCCCAGUCGUGGGGGAUAACGUAGCGAAAGUUACGCUAAUACCGCAUACGAUCUAUGGAUGAAAGCGGGGGAUCGCAAGACCUCGCGCGAUUGGAGCGGCCGAUAUCAGAUUAGGUAGUUGGUGGGGUAAAGGCUCACCAAGCCGACGAUCUGUAGCUGGUCUGAGAGGACGACCAGCCACACUGGGACUGAGACACGGCCCAGACUCCUACGGGAGGCAGCAGUGGGGAAUUUUGGACAAUGGGCGAAAGCCUGAUCCAGCCAUGCCGCGUGCAGGAUGAAGGCCAUCGGGUUGUAAACUGCUUUUGUACGGAACGAAAAGGUUUGGCCUAAUAAGCUGAGCUCAUGACGGUACCGUAAGAAUAAGCACCGGCUAACUACGUGCCAGCAGCCGCCGCAG